UGGAAUGGUGACUGAGUGGUUUAAAGUGAAGGUUUGCUAAAUCUUUGUAUGUAAAAACAUACCGUGGGUUCAAAUCCCACCUGUUCCAA
rnacentral:tRNA from 1 species